GAUGAACGCUGGCGGCGUGCCUAAUACAUGCAAGUCGAGCGAACAGACGAGGAGCUUGCUCCUCUGACGUUAGCGGUGGACGGGUGAGUAACACGUGGAUAACCUACCUAUAAGACUGGGAUAACUUCGGGAAACCGGAGCUAAUACCGGAUAAUAUAUUGAACCGCAUGGUUCAAUAGUGAAAGACGGUUUUGCUGUCACUUAUAGAUGGAUCCGCGCCGCAUUAGCUAGUUGGUAAGGUAACGGCUUACCAAGGCAACGAUGCGUAGCCGACCUGAGAGGGUGAUCGGCCACACUGGAACUGAGACACGGUCCAGACUCCUACGGGAGGCAGCAGUAGGGAAUCUUCAGCAAUGGGCGAAAGCCUGACGGAGCAACGCCGCGUGAGUGAUGAAGGUCUUCGGAUCGUAAAACUCUGUUAUUAGGGAAGAACAAAUGUGUAAGUAACUAUGCACGUCUUGACGGUACCUAAUCAGAAAGCCACGGCUAACUACGUG
rnacentral:rRNA from 1 species